rnacentral:rRNA from 1 species
CAUAUCAAUAAGCGGAGGAAAAGAAACCAACAGGGAUUGCCUCAGUAACGGCGAGUGAAGCGGCAACAGCUCAAAUUUGAAAUCUGGCUCUCGGGCCCGAGUUGUAAUUUGAAGAGGAUGUUUCUGGCAAGGUGCCUUCCGAGUUCCCUGGAACGGGACGCCAUAGAGGGUGAGAGCCCCGUCUGGUUGGUUGCCGAGCCUCUGUGAAACUCCUUCGACGAGUCGAGUAGUUUGGGAAUGCUGCUCUAAAUGGGAGGUAUACGUCUUCUAAAGCUAAAUACCGGCCAGAGACCGAUAGCGCACAAGUAGAGUGAUCGAAAGAUGAAAAGCACUUUGAAAAGAGGGUUAAAAAGUACGUGAAAUUGUUGAAAGGGAAGCGCUCAUGACCAGACUUGGGCCGGUUGAUCAUCCAUCGUUCUCGGUGGUGCACUCUGCCGGUUCAGGCCAGCAUCAGUUUGCUUCGGGGGAUAAAGACUUCGGGAACGUGGCUCCUCCGGGAGUGUUAUAGCCCGUUGUGUAAUACCCUG